rnacentral:rRNA from 1 species
GUCCACGCUGUAAACGAUGAGUGCUAGGUGUAGGGGGUAUCGACUCCUUCUGUGCCGCAGUUAACGCAUUAAGCACUCCGCCUGGGGAGUAUGGCCGCAAGGUUAAAACUCAAAGGAAUUGACGGGGGCCCGCACAAGCGGUGGAGUAUGUGGUUUAAUUCGAUGAUACGCGAGAAACCUUACCUGGUCUUGACAUGUAGAGAACCCUUAAGAGAUUAGGGGGUGCCUGCUUGCAGGAGCUCUAACACAGGUGGUGCAUGGUUGUCGU